ACCUGGGUGGCUCAGUCGGUUAAGCACCUGACUCUCGAUCUCAGGAUUGUGGGUUUGAGCCCCGCCUUGGGCU
rnacentral:tRNA from 1 species